rnacentral:tRNA from 1 species
GGAUGGGUGGCCGAGCGGUUGAAGGCACCGGUCUUGAAAACCGGCAGGUGCAAGCCUCUCGUGGGUCUGAAUCCCACCCAUCCGCCA